ensembl:lncRNA
CGAAUACUGUUUAUAGCGUAUGGUUGGAUGGUGCUUAGUCACUCAGUCUUGUCUGACUCUCUGUUACCUUUUGGACUGUAGCCUACCAGCCUCCUCUGUCUGUGUGCUUUGGUUUUGUUUUGUUUUUUUGUUUUUUGUUUUUUCAGGCAAGAAUACUGGAAUGAGUUGCCGUUUCCUCCUCCAGGGUAUCUUCCCAACCCAAGGAUCGAACCCACAUCUCCUUUGUCUCCAGUAUUGCAGUACAUGAUUGUGCACCCAGAAAACACCUCCCCCCCCCGCCCCACAGGGUGCUGGCCUCAACUUGGCACCUCAGCUGAGCCCUCAGAAGACCUUUACACCUUUGAUCGGGCUGGCUAUUCCUGGAUUAUGGGGUUCAUGAUAGGUUGAACAUUCAGCGGGAGCAGGAGUUGGAUCAGCCUUGGCGAGGGAAGUGCAACUUGUCAGGUCCACGGGAAGCAAGCCUGAGGACAGGAAGCAGUCCAUGAUGGUUGGAAGCAAAUGGUGGACACCAGUGUGCAUUGGUACAGAUCCAUCGGGGUCAGUUGAAGACACCACACAACCACAGCUGAAGGUUUUCAGUGCCGUUGAGUCGCCUCACUUCAGAAUGGCAAGAAGGAAAAUUUACCUUAUCUCUUUUGCCCAAGCCAUUUCUUUGGUCAUACUAUAAGAAUCCUAAUCCUAGUCUAUGUUUGAAAAAUUAGAAUGGCCUCAUUAAUUCAGGGCCUAAAUAAAACCAGAGUGGGUUUAGAGAAGUUAGUCUGGAGGCAAGUAAACCUGUUAUUUUAAAUCAAACUUGGAAGUAUGAAUGAAAUUGGUAGUAUUAUUACUAACACUUUUUAAUGCUAGAUGUGUGUUUUACAGGGAAUAUCAUUGUGAUUUGGAAAUGUGGACAGUGUUGCCAGACCCUUAAUGGAUUUAGGAAAUGCUGUUGGCUGAUUGCUCAUGGGGCCUUCCCUGG